rnacentral:rRNA from 1 species
AUAGCCGCAAUUCGUGCUAAGGUAGCAUAAUCAUUUGUCUUUCAAAUGAAGACUAGAACAAAAGAUUAAAUAUUUAAAUAUAUUUAUUCAAUUUUUUUAAAUCAAAAUUAUCCUAAAUAUAAAAAGAUAUUUAUUUCUAAAAAAGACGACAAGACCCUAUUGAACUUAACUUUAGUUAAACUGGGGCAGUUCAUUAAUUAAUAUUUUAUACACAAUUGAUACAAUAAAUAUCCAAAAUAAUCGAUUUAUUCAGUUACCAUAGGGAUAACAGCGCAAUUUUAUUUUAAAGCUCUUAUUUAAAAAAAAGAUUACGACCUCGAUGUUGAAUUAAUAUCCUAUUUUCAAGCAAAGUUUAAAAAAGGAAGUCUGUUCGACUUUUAAAAAAUCACAUGAUUUGAGUUCAGACCGGUAUAAGCCAGGUCGGUUUCUAUCUUUUAUAAAAAUUUUUACAGUACGAAAGGGCCUAAAAAUUCAAUUAAAUUGAAUUAAUUGGCAGAAAAAUGCAUUAGGUUUAGAAUCUAAUAAGACU